AGUGAACGCUGGCGGUAGGCCUAACACAUGCAAGUCGAACGGCAGCACAGUAAGAGCUUGCUCUUACGGGUGGCGAGUGGCGGACGGGUGAGGAAGACAUCGGAAUCUACUUUUUCGUGGGGGAUAACGCAGGGAAACUUACGCUAAUACCGCAUACGACCUACGGGUGAAAGCAGGGGAUCUUCGGACCUUGCGCGAUUGAAUGAGCCGAUGUCGGAUUAGCUAGUUGGCGGGGUAAAGGCCCACCAAGGCGACGAUCCGUAGCUGGUCUGAGAGGAUGAUCAGCCACACUGGAACUGAGACACGGCCCAGACUCCUACGGGAGGCAGCAGUGGGGAAUAUUGGACAAUGGGCGCAAGCCUGAUCCAGCCAUACCGCGUGGGUGAAGAAGGCCUUCGGGUUGUAAAGCCCUUUUGUUGGGAAAGAAAAGCAGCAGGUUAAUACCCCGCUGUUCUGACGGUACCCAAAGAAUAAGCACCGGCUAACUUCGUG
rnacentral:rRNA from 1 species